UGGCUCAGAACGAACGCUGGCGGCAGGCUUAACACAUGCAAGUCGAGCGGGCGUAGCAAUACGUCAGCGGCAGACGGGUGAGUAACGCGUGGGAACGUACCUUUUGGUUCGGAACANUUUUUGGNAAACUUGUGCUAAUACCGGAUAAGCCCUUACGGGGAAAGAUUUAUCGCCGAAAGAUCGGCCCGCGUCUGAUUAGCUAGUUGGUAGGGUAAUGGCCUACCAAGGCGACGAUCAGUAGCUGGUCUGAGAGGAUGAUCAGCCACAUUGGGACUGAGACACGGCCCAAACUCCUACGGGAGGCAGCAGUGGGAAGGG
rnacentral:rRNA from 1 species